rnacentral:ncRNA from 1 species
CGGGGAAAGAAGACCCUGUUGAGCUUGACUCUAGUCCGACUUUGUGAGGAGACAUGAUGGAUGUAGUAUAGGUGGGAGCUGGGUGCUUCGGUGUCCAACGCAAAUGAAAUACCACUGCUAUCAUUGUUUCUUUACUUAUUCAGUGAAACGGGAACGAAAUUGUAUUUUGGUUCAAAGCACAUUUCGGGGUGCGUGGUCUAUCGCUGCGUGCUUCGAUAUCUUGGUCAUGUCAGAUGAGUCGUGGUGCGAAUUGCGGUGUUUGAGUUUGAUGUGAUGUGCGACCCGUUCUGAAGACCAUGUCAGGCGUGGCCUAUCGAUCCUUUUGAUGUUAUUUUCGGAGUUUGAAGCAAGAGGUGUCAGAAAAGUUACCACAGGGUUGGGAGGCAAAAUCCGACUCACACGUCCUCGUCGUGCCUCCUGGAUCAUGGGACUGAUUCCAUGAACUAACGUGAGCGGUAACCCG